CCUACGGGAGGUGCAGUGGGGAAUAUUGGACAAUGGGGGCAACCCUGAUCCAGCCAUGCCGCGUGUGUGAAGAAGGCCCUCGGGUUGUAAAGCACUUUCAGUGAGGAAGAACGCCUGGUGGUUAAUACCCAUCAGGAAAGACAUCACUCACAGAAGAAGCACCGGCUAACUCCGUGCCAGCAGCCGCGGUAAUACGGAGGGUGCGAGCGUUAAUCGGAAUUACUGGGCGUAAAGCGCGCGUAGGUGGCUUGAUAAGCCGGUUGUGAAAGCCCCGGGCUCAACCUGGGAACGGCAUCCGGAACUGUCAAGCUAGAGUGCAGGAGAGGAAGGUAGAAUUCCCGGUGUAGCGGUGAAAUGCGUAGAGAUCGGGAGGAAUACCAGUGGCGAAGGCGGCCUUCUGGACUGACACUGACACUGAGGUGCGAAAGCGUGGGUAGCAAACAGGAUUAGAUACCCUUGUAGUC
rnacentral:rRNA from 1 species